UCUUACUUCCCUCUUGCUUAUGUUCCAUCAUUCAUCUAGGUUCAUUCAGCGAGCCUCCAGUACCUCCUAUUCAAGUCGGUGGCAGAUUGACUCAUUCUACUCUUGCUCGUCUUACAUGCUUCCGUCCUACUUGUGCUUCAUUCUUCCUCUGGGUCCAUUCGAAAGUCCCUUCAGAGCCCUUUAGUAGCAUAAGCCGCACCCUUCUUCUCUAUAUCAAAACUGCACCCUUCAUGAAGUUUCAUCAUAGGAGAUUUUGGCAACUCCAUAUUGAUACCUCUAGGCUUCCUGAUGUCUCGAAUCAGGUCACCCAGCUGUGACAGAUAGGGAGAUCAUGACUUGCUGCUCAACGAGGCGAAUGCGACUGAUGUUGAAAAUAGUGAUUUGGAUGAAACUGACAAGUUAGCAGAGGAGUGUGGUUGGACAGUUGUCCAGACGGAUGUCUCAUGCUGCUACUAUUGUUCUCGAUCGCAAACAGCAGUUCUGUGUGCGCGAAGAGGCAGAAAUUCUAUCUGUGCAGCAUAUGGCAAUGUCUAGUGUGUAGACAAUUACCCUAUUUCAUCUUGUUGAUGCUAAUGCAAUGCAGGUUACAAUGGUUAUUAAUCAGCACUUUCUAGAUCCAAACAAUCGUGGAACUUAUAAUAAAAGAACCACCAAUGACACCAUUCACUCAGCUCGAUGCAUAGAAGAUGUUUGUACAAAUACUUCAGUGGCUACAAGUGUUGAAAUUUUGCAAACAGAGGCAGCAAUUCAGCACAUGACCAACCAAUCUUCUGGUAUGCUAAAUGAGUUAUUGAAGCAAUCUUCUAAUUUGUUUUGAUUCCAAUCUUUUAAUUUGUUUGCUAAGCAUGGAAAUAAUUGUGGAGUCUUAUUGAAGCAAUCUCAAUCAAAGUAAAUACUAUAGCAAUGUGGAUACGAUGCUUCCAAGCCACAAUUUGUUUCAAAUUUGAUGUGAAUGCUCUAUUUGUUGCUCUAUUUGUUCUUUUGUUAUGGUUA